UGGCCACAUCAUGUUGAAACACCAGUUCCCAGAUGAUCACCAAAGUUAAGCAAUGUUGAGCCUGGUCAGUACCUAGAUGGGUGACCGCUUGGUAAUAUCAAGUGCUGUAAG
rnacentral:rRNA from 1 species